rnacentral:rRNA from 1 species
CGAUGGAUAGGGGUUCUGAGAGGAAGGUCCCCCACAUUGGAACUGAGACACGGUCCAAACUCCUACGGGAGGCAGCAGUGAGGAAUAUUGGUCAAUGGACGAGAGUCUGAACCAGCCAAGUAGCGUGAAGGAUGACUGCCCUAUGGGUUGUAAACUUCUUUUAUACGGGAAUAAAGUUAGGCACGUGUGCCUUUUUGUAUGUACCGUAUGAAUAAGGAUCGGCUAACUCCGUGCCAGCAGCCGCGGUAAUACGGAGGAUCCGAGCGUUAUCCGGAUUUAUUGGGUUUAAAGGGAGCGUAGGCGGAUGCUUAAGUCAGUUGUGAAAGUUUGCGGCUCAACCGUAAAAUUGCAGUUGAUACUGGGUGUCUUGAGUACAGUAGAGGCAGGCGGAAUUCGUGGUGUAGCGGUGAAAUGCUUAGAUAUCACGAAGAACUCCGAUUGCGAAGGCAGCUUACUGGAUUGUAACUGACGCUGAUGCUCGAAAGUGUGGGUAUCAAACAGGAUUAGAUACCCUGGUAGUCCACACAGUAAACGAUGAAUACUCGCUGUUUGCGAUAUACAGUAAGCGGCCAAGCGAAAGCGUUAAGUAUUCCACCUGGGGAGUACGCCGGCAACGGUGAAACUCAAAGGAAUUGACGGGGGCCCGCACAAGCGGAGGAACAUGUGGUUUAAUUCGAUGAUACGCGAGGAACCUUACCCGGGCUUAAAUUGCAAAUGAAUGAUCUGGAAACAGAUCAGCCGCAAGGCAUUUGUGAAGGUGCUGCAUGGUUGUCGUCAGCUCGUGCCGUGAGGUGUCGGCUUAAGUGCCAUAACGAGCGCAACCCUUAUCGAUAGUUACCAUCAGGUUAUGCUGAGGACUCUGUCGAGACUGCCGUCGUAAGAUGUGAGGAAGGUGGGGAUGACGUCAAAUCAGCACGGCCCUUACGUCCGGGGCUACACACGUGUUACAAUGGGGGGUACAGAAGGCAGCUACACGGUGACGUGAUGCUAAUCCCUAAAACCUCUCUCAGUUCGGAUUGGAGUCUGCAACCCGACUCCAUGAAGCUGGAUUCGCUAGUAAUCGCGCAUCAGCCACGGCGCGGUGAAUACGUUCCCGGGCCUUGUACACACCGCCCGUCAAGCCAUGAAAGCCGGGGGUACCUGAAGUGCGUAACCGCGAGGAGCGCCCUAGGGUAAAACUGGUGAUUGGGGCUAAGUCGUAACAAGGUAGCCGUACCGGAAGGUGCGGCUG